GCACAGGUUUAGCCAACCCGGUCAGCACGGAGCUCCUGCCCCAGCCACCCCUCCCCUUCGAAGUGCCUCCUCCUGGCUCCUCUGGUCUUGGUGGAGGCCCCGUGCUUCCCAGCCUGGGGGACGGGACCUUGCAGGCUGUGCCCCUUUACAGAAACAAAGUCUCCUGUUCUAAAAGCACAGACUUUGUGAUUUUCAGCUCAUGGCGUUUGCUCCCCUUCUGAAUAGCUGGAUUUGCAUUCCAGCCACUCCACGAGAUUCCAGCACCAAAGGAACCUCAACGCCACCUGGACCCCCAGCAAAGGCUCUGGCCCACAGGUGCUGCCCACUCGGUGGGUCGGGCCCCCGCUGGCUGUGGCCCCUCCAUGGAACCUGAGAGCAUGAGGAAAUUCCCCCUCCUGAGCCUCACGCCUGUCUCCUGUGGCUGAGGUGUGGCCGUCCCUCCCCAACCCUGGAAGUGUCUGGAACACCCGGCCCAUCAGCCCCAGAGGGGACCCAUCCGCUGAGUCCAAAAGUGGCUGCUCUGACAAUCAGGAUUCAGACGUGUGAAGAAAAGGCUGUAUGUGUGUGGUGUGAGUAUGUGUGCACGUAGUGUGCCUGUGUGUGUGUGGCAAGUGUGUCCCUGUGUGUGGUGCAUGUGUACAGUGACUGUGCACUGCAGUGUGUGUGCACCUGUGUGUGUGGUGUGAUGUGCGUGUGUGUGGGUGGAGACUGAGGGGGCAGGGGCAGGAGGUGAGCCCCCGAGGCCGUGUUCUGUGAGCACAGGAGUGGUGCGAGGUGGGACUGCCCUCCCAUGCUGUCCUUGAAGGGGCUUUGUGUCCCAGGCCGCAGUCCCUGCCCGGACUGCACAGCAGCUCUCCUGGGCCCUGUACACACCUGGAAACCAGGGGCCGCAAGGAGCCAGGCCCGGAGCCUGGGGUGUAGACUGAGCUCCACCAGAAAAGCCCCUCCCUCACGUGGGCAGGGGUCAGAGGGCGGCCCACGCAGCCCUGCACGCACCUCCAGGAAGCGAGAUGCGACGUCCAGGUCUUCCUUGUUCAGCACCAGAUUGUCCACGAACAUCCAGAAGAAGGGCCUGGGGCUGCCUGGCUUGGGCCGUGCGUACUGCAGGAGCCGGUGGAACUGGAACAGCAGCAAUGAAGCCCUGCCCAGUGCUGGGGCCACAGAGGUGCAUGGACCCCUCCUCCCCCAGGCAGGCCUAGAGUGGGGAAGAGACAGACAGGCAACCCCGAGGGAGGAGCUGACGCAGAGCGCGUGCCGCGGCACAAAUACCGCCUUUUAGAGGAAGCUCCAGAGGACACGUGAGCUGCAGUGAUGUGGGCACGCUGGGGGCUGCAUGGGGUCAGCGGGAGGCUUGGGGGCACAGGGAAGCCUGCAGUGAUGGGGACUCUUACUCUGUUGCUCUCUUACUCUGAUGAGGGGUGCAUGGGUGUGGAGCUAGCUCAGAACUCAUCCAGUCGGACACACUGAAUGCGUGCAACUUACUGUAUGUCAGUGGUGCCUCGAUAAAGCUGUUUUUGAAAAAUGCUGACAAUUUGCAGUUUCUGCCCUGGCAUGGAGGUGUGAGGAGAGAGGAGAGGAGACAGGGGUGGUGGGGACAGGCUGCCAGAACUGAAGCAUCACUCACUGGGAGGACGGUCACAGGUGUGGCCCAGGGGAGGUGUGGCGCCGUACACAAGAUCGAAGGGUCCCCACUCCUCCACCUGCAGGACAGAGGGGAGUGGGCACUGAGAGGCAGCAGCAGUGGGCAAGGUCGCGUGCGGCAGCACGAGAUGACCCCAGGGCAGACCCUGCUCAGCUCGCAGGGCCCACAGGCCAGGGCAAGCUGAGGAGUGGAGCCCACUAGGGCAGAGCCAUCCACAGCCACCACCAGCCUCAGGGGCUGCCUGCCUGGAGCCCAGAGGAGAAAGCUCCGGGUCUGAGGUGAAGACUCUGUGCCAUGCAUUUGGGGACUGAAUUCUGCCUUUAUUUUUUCUUGCUCAAAUUCCUUUCUAAGGAGCGUAGGGGAAUCACGCCUUACAAACCACAAAAGCUUGUGGAAUGGGUGUUUUUGACCUGGUAUAUUGUGACUCUGCCAUGGCACCACAUGACAGACAGCAGACCUCCUUAUUUUAACUCAAGCAUUCCUUUCUACUGACUCCCAGUUUUUAGGCAAAGCUCAACUCUUUCAACCAACUGCCAACUAAAGAAUCCCUAAACCCACCUAUAACCUGUAAGCUUCAAGAUAUCUCGCCUUUUGGGGCUGAUCCAAUGCACAUCUUCUAUGUAUUGAUUUAUUGAUUGAUUGAUUUUUUGAGAUGGGGUCUCACUCUGUCACCCAGGCUGUAGUGCAAUGGCGAGAUCUCGGCUCACUGCAACCUCUACCUCCUGGGCUCAAGCAAUCCUCCUGCCUCAGCCCCCUGAGCAACCCCAGGUGCACAUCACCAUGACUAGCCAACUUUUUUGUAUUUUUGGUAGAGAUGGGGUUUCACCAAGUUGCUCAAACUGGUCUUGAACUCCUCAGCUCAAAGUGCUGGGAUUACAGGCGUGAGCCACCGCGCCCGGCCCGUGUACUGUUUUCUGAUUCCACCUGCAGUUCGCAUCUCCCUGAAAUGUACAAAACCAAUUGUGCUGGGAGUGGUGGCUCACGCCUGUAAUCCCAGCACUUUGGGAGGCAGAGGCGGGCGGAUCACGAGGUCAGGAGAUUGAGACCAUCCUGGCUAACACGGUGAAACCCCGUCUCUACUAAAAAUAUAAAAAAAUUAGCCAGGCAUGGUGGCGGGCGCCUGUAGUCCCAGCUACUCGGGAGGCUGAGGCAGGAGAAUGGCAGGAACGCGGGAGGCGGAGCUUGCGGUGAGCCGAGAUCACGCCACUGCACUCCAGCCUGGGCGACAGAGCAAGCCUCCGUCUCAAAAACAAAUAAAUAAAUAAAUAAAAUAAAAAUAAAUAAAUACAUAAAACCAAAUUGUAACUGACCGCCUCAGGUGCACUUCCUCGGGAUCUCUUAAGACUGUAUUUCCCAGGCCAUGGUCACUCUUAUUGGCUCAGAAUAAACCUAUUUAAAAACUU